rnacentral:lncRNA from 1 species
UUUUUUUUUCUUUUUUUUUCAAUAUAAUAAAAAAAGUUAUAUGACUUUAAUUAAAUGCACUUAUUAAAAGGGUGAAAUAUUUGGAGAGGCUGUUUUUGUGCUGGAGGCACAUUUUCCAGCGCGCUGUAGAGCGUCUGCAUCCGUCCGCUCUAGGCAAUUUUUAAUACACAAAUAAAUCCGCACCUGACGUGCUGACAGAUUAUUAUGCAGUGUGGCAGCCAACAAAAGUAAACACAGGGGCAAGUUUUAACCUCUUGCAGUCCUGGAGCUUUCCCUGCUGGGCCCGGCUCAGGUGUACAGGGCUGCUGGCAAAGCCUUCCCUUCCAGGGAGCCAUCUUCCUGUCCUGUCCCUGGAAACAGGGGGCUCCUCUCCCAUCAGGCUGCCCGGAGUGAGGCAUAUGCCAGGGGACAGGAGACACGACCGAGAGGAAGGCUGGCAACACGCGGUGCUCCUCAAGCGCCCUGCCUUCCUUCCAUCCUGUUUAUCCCAGGGCCAUGAGAUCUGCCAGCUUCGGCACAGCAGGCUGGUCAGCAAGCUGCCAGGACAGAGGCCAUUUCUCCUUCCAGCCGGCGGAGCUGGCGCUGCAGAUGGAGAACCCAGCUGGGUGUUUCUCCCAGCUCUGCCCAGAGUGCAAGUGUCAGGACGGUUACUACAGAGCUAAGGGGGCAUCAGGCAGUUUCCAUACAUGGGACCUUACAUGAUGGAGGUGCAAAGGAGCACAGGGGUACGGCAUUUACUGACACGCAUCGACAGAACUGCCCGUCUCCUGUUGCUCUGGUGAGAUGGAGCUUGCAGAGGGAUCCUCCUGGAAAGGCACCCUUUGCAGCCAUCAGAGAUUUCAGUGGCACCUGCCUGGCGUGGCUCCGUGGGCACACUCCUUGUGCCAUCCAUCUUUGAGCUGCUUUGUUCUGACCGGAGCGUUAGGAACAAACACCAGGUUUCCUCAUCGGUAUAACGGAUCUUUGGCUGGGGAGUUGUGGGGGGGCCAAGAGAGGAAGAUUCUUAGGGCAAAGGGGCGGGGGUUCUCCCAGUGGGUCAUUCACCCAUCUAUUACCCUAGUACCUGAGAGGAGAGCACAUAUUCUGCAUCCGUAAACAGCCAGAACAACAAGAGCCAUUGUUAUUAUCCUUUACUGGCUGUUUACAACAAACCCUUCACAGCGCUAAGUGCUUUCAUACGUUAUCUCCAAAUACAUUUUAUCUCCAGACUCUCCAGGGUACAGCUCAUUAACCCAUUCGUUUUUACUACCAAUUUAACAGCUACUCAUGCUUCACCCGCAAUGUUAUUACGCUCAGUGUACGGCUCAGGAAAUUGAUGCUUAGUAAGUGUAGGUGAUUUUGCCUAAGAAAGUCGUAAGAAAAACACCCAAGUACAGAGAAGCAAUCACAUCAACCUGAAACAACACCCAGCCAGACAUAUUCCCAGUUAUGGCCUCAGAAGAAAUAGCCUUUUUUUUUUUUUUUUUUCGCUAUGGAUAAGAAUGAGGAUACACAAAUUGAUUUUUUAAACAAGAAGAAAAUGUGGGCACAAUGAAAUGUCACCAAAUAAACAAAGAAAAUUCCUGCAGUGGGUGGAAGGCUGAACCAGGUGCCCUUCAAGUAUCCUGCCAACAUAUCUCUUUGCAGAGCUGACUGUUCUGACUCUGGGACCCGCCCGAGCCCUAGGAUUUCCGGGAGAAGCUUUGCUUCAAGAUUCCUAGUUAGUAUCUUCACUUCCAUCCUGCCUCUUCAAGGCACUGGGACUGAAUGUCCCCUUCCAUGCCACCUGGGAACUUUUGGGUUGUGACAAGAAAGAAAAGAUUUCUCUUUGUGAAAUCCAGCAAGAUCUGGUCCAGCAAGAUGCACACAGUCACACUGAAAGCGCUCGCCACUGGCAGCUAAGAGAUCCAGCUGGCCAUUAUCCAGCAGGCCAUCUUGCCUAUAGACAUUUGUCAAUCUCCUGAGCUUGGGGAAUGCCCCGGGAGCCUGACACCUGCUACUGAAGCUGAAAAUGCCUAGUCCUUCUUUCCCCGGCCUCCCUCACGUGUAGGGCAAGACCAAUGAGCUGAGGUUCCCCUCAUCAGUCCCACCCAUGCCUGACUUUGAGCCUGAGGCAGUAAUACAAAGUAGCACAAAUCCUGAGAAACCUACUCCAGAGAGGAUGGGUAAGAGCAGCAGCAGGAGUGAUGAUGGGCUCGGAGAGGCAGUGGUUCUGUUGCAGCCUCCUGACCCAGCAUCAGUGGUGUAGGCGAUGAUGGACAUGCCCAGUGGUUAGAAGCAAUGUCAUCAGACCACUUCAGCAGCAUCUGCGACAUGUUCCUGGAUGCGGAGCCUCCAAACCUAGUUUCCCCCUCCUCAUAGAGAUGCUGAGCUAAUGCAUUCUGCUUAUUUUUUUUUUAGGGCCACACCUACGGCAUAUGAAAGUUCCCAGGCUGGGGGUCAAAUCAGAGCUACAGCUGCCAGCCUACACCACAGCCACAGCAACGUGGGAUCUGAGCCUCCUCUGCAACCUACACCACAGCUCACAGCAACACCGGAUCCUUAAUCCACUGAGUGAGGCCAGGGAUUGAGUACCCAUCCUCAUGGAUCCUAGUGACGUGCGGUGGGCUGAGCCACAAUGGGAACUCCUCAAUCUAUUCCUAAAAAAUAUUUUUUCACCUUAGCCAGGGGUGAUUUCUGUUGCUUGCAAACAAGACCUCUGAUGGAUAUAAGAUUCUGUACAAAAAUCCUGCACUGGUACUCGGAAAUUAUAAUACUGCAUCUCUUGGGUUGGGUUUUAUGUGUUUUUGCCUUUAUAAAUUUUAACUUUGUGUUGCAAUCAAAAAUAUACAAAAGAAAAAUGCACAUUUCAUGACAGUACAGCUCAUUGAAUUUUCACAAACAUACCCAUGUAACCACUACUUCACAUCAAGAAACAAGAUCAUCAUUACCAUGACUCCCCAAAGCCAUUCUUAUCACCACCAUCAACCGAGGACAACCAGUAUCCUGACUUCUAACACCACAGGUUAGCACUGCCUGUUUCUGUAAAUACACAGAUGCAGUGCAUCGUCUUUCUCUGGUCUGUGCAUUACCUCUGUUUAUCUUUUAUUCAACAUUAUGCUCUGAAGAUUCAUCUGUACUCUCUGCAGCUGUUGCUCAUCUAUUUUGAGGGCUGUAUAGUAUUCCAGUGGAUGAAUAUAUCACAUAUAUCACAUAUAUAUCACAUAGUCAUUGUGAGUAUUCCAUUGAUUUAUUCAUUCCAUUGCUGCCAAGCACUUGGGUGCUUUCUAAUUUGGGGCUAUUUCAAAAAGGCCUUCUGUGAGCAUUCUAGUACACAUCUUUUGGUGAAAUGUGAACAGACUUUUGUUGCAUAGCUAGCCAUGUUCAUAAUGCACAUAUACAUUCAACUUUAGUAGCUGCUGCUCAACAAUUUUCCCAAAUGGUCAUAUCCAUUAGAAUGAUUUUUAAUUUAAUUUCCAGAACAAUU